GUUUUGCCAGAGAAUCACUAGGAGCCUUGAUGUAGUAUGGAUACACUGUUUCUAAUGUUACCUUUUCCAAUGGCUUUCCAGACAUCAUUGUAGCAAUAUCUCUUCUGGUUUUCUCUGGUAGGCCAAAGGUAAGUUUAUCUGAUGCUAUUUCUGCUUUGGCACCAAGAGUGAGAUUUCUUUGAAUGCUCCAUGAAAGUACUACAGUGAACUCAGCUGAAAAAUCCAGCAGUCCCUGUAUCAUUUUCUCUCUACUGGGAGGGCUGAUGGUCCAUAAGGAGUUUGAAUUCCCUUCUAGAUCUGCUAGGGUUAUAUCUUCUUUUCCAUAGCCCUCUAAAAACUGCAAAGCAGCAGUGUUACCCCUAUAGCUUCCCAGAAAUGCACUGAAACCAGUCUGAUUCAAAUCCUUGAGCUGACUCUGUUGAGCACUCAUUGUAAAAAUAGGCUGAUAACCUCCUAGAGUUAUUGUGAUUGAUACAUCUAGAGGCUUGUUGGUGAUGCCUGCAACAGAUUUGAUUAAAGACAUGAAGAGCAGUGGGAACCAGACAAUACAAAUCAGCAAGACGAUAAUCAUGCCACCCAUUCCAUACUUCACAACCUUCUUUUUCUUCUGGCCUCUUGGUUGGGGAUAUCUCUUUUCUGACUCUCGCCAGCACUUCAGGAUGAAUAUAUGAGCAUAGAUAUCUUCAACACAGAUCCAGCUGGAGAGACUGAGAGUGGUAUCUGUC
rnacentral:lncRNA from 1 species